rnacentral:rRNA from 1 species
UCCUACGGGAGGCUGCAGUGGGGAAUAUUGGACAAUGGGCGAAAGCCUGAUCCAGCCAUGCCGCGUGAGUGAUGACGGCCCUAGGGUUGUAAAGCUCUUUCGCAGGUGAAGAUAAUGACGGUAACCUGAGAAGAAGCCCCGGCUAACUUCGUGCCAGCAGCCGCGGUAAUACGAAGGGGGCUAGCGUUGUUCGGAAUUACUGGGCGUAAAGCGCACGUAGGCGGACUAUUAAGUCAGGGGUGAAAUCCCGGGGCUCAACCCCGGAACUGCCUUUGAUACUGGUAGUCUCGAGUCCGAGAGAGGUGAGUGGAAUUCCGAGUGUAGAGGUGAAAUUCGUAGAUAUUCGGAGGAACACCAGUGGCGAAGGCGGCUCACUGGCUCGGUACUGACGCUGAGGUGCGAAAGCGUGGGGAGCAAACAGGAUUAGAUACCCGAGUAGUC